UUAUUUACUAAUUAGUUCAUGUCCGAAGGGAACUGUUUACAUUGGGUUUUGUUUAGGGUCUCAGAGUAAAGGGGAAUGCAUGUUACUCAGAAUUUUAUUUGUCAAAAAUAAAAAAAAGUCUGUGCACUUUUUGUGUUGGUCUGUCACAUAAAAUCCCAAUAAAAUACAGAAACGUUUCUGGUUGUAACACGAAAAAAUGUUUAAAAGUUCAAGGCACUGUCUGUUUAAAGUAAAUCAAGCUGGACUGUAGAAGGACACAUCAGUGCUGCAGGCAGGGGGCUUUGGUAGUGCUCAUUUUAUGUUUUCCUAUUUACAGAAAGUCUGAUUAGGGCAAAUAUCACAAAUGUCUUAAAAAAAAAAGCUGCUCUUAACCGUGCUGAGUCUGUAUUUGACCUGAAUUUAUGGUGACCCCUGCUUCUUCAUUUUUUACAGGUUCACCAACACCAACAUCAUUCACAAAAUUCCAGAGUGGACCCUCAUAGCUGUGGUGCUUCUGCAUCUGUUGUCAGAUGUGUCUCCGGUGGUGCAGGGAGCCUUGGAGACGUCGGCAUCAGUGCAGUAUUUAAACACUCUGAUGGAGGAGCUUGGCCUGCAGGAACAGGACCUUCUCAACCUAGUUCAGCUGUUUAAAUCGCCAACAAGCUGACAGAACAAUAAACAGACGUAUAAUGUGUUCAAUCUCAUAAUAUGAUCAAUUCAGGAAAAAUUAUGUUUUGUGUGGUUUUGUCUUUAUUAAAACAAAAAAAUGGAGACU